CGAUUUUUGUACUACACAUAGGUACUGGACAGCUUUGAGUACUGUAUCCAGUGUCUAUCUUAGUGCAACAAUUGC
rnacentral:pre_miRNA from 1 species